rnacentral:rRNA from 1 species
GAUGAACGCUGGCGGCGUGCUUAACACAUGCAAGUCGAACGGAAAGGCCCAAGAUUGCUUGGGUACUCGAGUGGCGAACGGGUGAGUAACACGUGGGUGAUCUGCCCUGCACUUCGGGAUAAGCCUGGGAAACUGGGUCUAAUACCGGAUAGGACCACUUCUUGGAUGUUGUGGUGGAAAGUUUUUUCGGUGUGGGAUGAGCUCGCGGCCUAUCAGCUUGUUGGUGGGGUAAUGGCCUACCAAGGCGUCGACGGGUAGCCGGCCUGAGAGGGUGUACGGCCACAUUGGGACUGAGAUACGGCCCAGACUCCUACGGGAGGCAGCAGUGGGGAAUAUUGCACAAUGGGCGCAAGCCUGAUGCAGCGACGCCGCGGGGGGGAUGACGGCCUUCGGGUUGUAAACGCCUUUCGCUAGGGACGAAGCGUUUUGUGACGGUACCUGGAGAAGAAGCACCGGCUAACUACGUG